CACUCUAGCCUAUAGAAGAGCAAGGCUGUUGCGAAUAGGGGAAUGCAAGCAGUUGAGGGGAACUAGUGAAAGACUCUUACCUGCUGUUCAACACAAGGCCCCAAACACCACUGCAGACAGAUAAUUAUUCACUCCCAGUCCUAUGAUCUUGCUCUGUGAAGGAGGUUUGCUUUUCAGCAUCCAAUUUAUGGCAGCCUUCUCCCUAGUUGACUUGGGCAUGUGAGUGAUUCGAGAACGUUUGGCUUUGGUAUCCAAGGUGUUUGAGAAUGUUGGGGGCCAGUGUUCUGAGGGGCUGACUGUGACAUCAUAAAGUGGAAUGUAGUUAGUGUGCUGUUUGAGGGAUUCCAAUUCAGUCCGGUGCAGUCUUCCAGACAGUGCAGUUGUGCUUAGUCUGCUCUCUGUGUGAUGACUUGUAAGUUGAUUGUGACUAGAUGGAGUACAGCUACGACCGGAAGUCACAUUUUCGCUUAUAGAGGUAUCACCACCCCUCCUAUUGGCACCUCAGGUCCUCUUGGCCCCCUGACUGUCAGGCUGGAUCCUGUCUAGGGAAGAAAGAAGAAGAAUUAUGUUAUUAAUGACAGUCAAUAUACUACCGCUGCAAGAUGACAUGGCCUUCCACAAGGCCUAAAGAACUCGAAGAGGUCCCAUCUCUAUUAGAGGGUUUCAACGUGUGAGGGGCAACUGCAGUGGGGUGAAUCAUACUAGUUCAGUGUUUCCUAACUCCAGUGGUAAGAGUAGCCUACCCCCAACAAUACCCAUUUGUGUUUUAGCCCUGGACAGGCACACCUGAUUCAACAUACUUGUCAACCAAGUUCUCAAUGAGUUGAAUCAGGUGCAACAACAACAAUGUUGAUCCCCCAGUUGUCACAGUUUGGCCUUGUGUCCACAUAGCCUAUAUGAGUAUUUGAGUAUGUUCCCUGUGCAUGUUAGUUGCUUUCAUUUUGUCUUUUCUGAACCCACUAUUGCUCCUCCCUAGUUCCCUCGAACGAGUGCACUCCCCUUUGCAACAGAGGCCAGGCAAAAGCGCACGCUUGCUGUGCCACUGGCCUCAAUCAGGUCCACCAAACACAGAUAAUAGCGUCUUAGAAUGUUAUCGGUAGUUGAUCUUGUUUUUCUGAAGCCAGCUUGGUGGAUUCCAAGGAGGCCCAUUUCCUCAGUGUGGCUCCUCAGUCUUUGGGUGAGUACUCCCUCAAACAGCUUCCCAACAUGACUGUGGAGGCUGAUUGGUCUAUAACUUGUGAUGUUGUGUGGGUCUUUACCAGGUUGUGAAUCAUUGUGACAACUGCAGAUUUCCAAGGUAGGGGAAAAUGGCCAUCCAUGAAACAUGUGGUGAAGAGGUUAGAAAGGAGGUGCAGGUAUUCAUCAGGUGCUUGCUUGAUGAGUGUGCUGUCAAUGUCUUCCCCAGAUGCUUUGUUUUUCGUUUUUUUUCAGAUGAGUCUUAAUUUCUUCAAUAGUAACAGAGCGGGUGAGGGGAUGGUCUACUGGUGUCAGACUUGAAGUAUAUACUGUUUUUCGACAAUGUUUUUCCAUUCUUUGCCAUAGAGGGAUUAAUUGGGACAAGAAUGAACAUUUUGUAGGUGGUUUCUAAAUAAUGAAUUUGUCUUGAGACUUCAGCACAGGUAUGAUAUUAUUGGUUUUGUCUCCGUUAAUUGCUUUGAUUUUUUUGCCAGAAGGUCCGGGGGUUAGUGUCUGUAUCUAGCUGGUGAUAAAAGGCAGUCCCCUGUUUCUAUUUGUGGA